rnacentral:rRNA from 1 species
GACGAACGCUGGCGGCGUGCCUAAUACAUGCAAGUCGAGCGCAGGAAAUCGACGGAACCCUUCGGGGGGAAGUCGACGGAUUGAGCGGCGGACGGGUGAGUAACACGUAAAGAACCUGCCCUCAGGUCUGGGAUAACCACGAGAAAUCGGGGCUAAUACCGGAUGGGUCAUCGGACCGCAUGGUCCGAGGAUGAAAGGCGCUUCGGCGUCGCCUGGGGAUGGCUUUGCGGUGCAUUAGCUAGUUGGUGGGGUAAUGGCCCACCAAGGCGACGAUGCAUAGCCGACCUGGGAGGGUGAUCGGCCACACUGGGACUGAGACACGGCCCAGACUCCUACGGGAGGCAGCAGUAGGGAAUCUUCCACAAUGGACGAAAGUCUGAUGGAGCAACGCCGCGUGAACGAUGAAGGCCUUCGGGUCGUAAAGUUCUGUUGUAAGGGAAGAACAAGUGCCGCAGGCAAUGGCGGCACCUUGACGGUACCUUGCGAGAAAGCCACGGCUAACUACGUGCCAGCCGCCGCGGUAA